AAGAGCAUAAUUUAAUGGUAAAAUAUAAAGCUUCAAACUUUAGUUUCUUAGUUCGAAUCUAAGUGCUUUUG
rnacentral:tRNA from 1 species